GGCGACUUUCCGGGAUACUGGGCGUAAGAGUUGCGUAGGUGGCAUUGUAAGUUGUUAGUGAAAGCGUUCGGCUCAACCGAAUAUACAUUAACAAAACUGCAAAGCUAGAGGACAAGAGAGGUCACUGGAAUUCCUAGUGUAGGAGUGAAAUCCGUAGAUAUUAGGAGGAACACCGAUGGCGUAGGCAGGUGACUGGCUUGUUCCUGACACUAAGGCACGAAAGCGUGGGUAGCAAACGGGAUUAGAUACCCCGGUAGUCCACGCCGUAAACGAUGGAUGCUAGCUGUAUUCGGUAUCGACCCCGGAUGUAGCGAAGCUAACGCGUUAAGCAUCCCGCCUGUGGAGUACGGUCGCAAGACUAAAACAUAAAGGAAUUGACGGGGACCCGCACAAGCGGUGGAGCGUGUUGUUUAAUUCGAUGGUAAGCGAAGAACCUUACCCAGGUUUGACAUCCUUGGAAUUUUUCCGAAAGGAAAAAGUGCUUUAUUGAACCAAGUGACAGGUGUUGCAUGGCCGUCGUCAGCUCGUGUCGUGAGAUGUUUGGUUAAGUCCAUCAACGAGCGCAACCCUUAUGUUUAGUUGAAUUUUUCUAGACAGACUGCCCUGGCAACAGGGAGGAAGGAGGGGAUGAUGUCAGGUCAGUAUUACCCUUACACCUGGGGCUACAAACACGCUACAAUGGCCGGUACAAAGGGCAGCCAAGUCGCGAGACGGAGCAAAUCCCAUCAAAGCCGGUCCCAGUUCGGAUAGCAGGCUGAAACUCGCCUGCUUGAAGUCGGAAUCGCUAGUAACGGUAGGUCAGCUAUACUACCGUGAAUACGUUCCCGGGUCUUGUACACACCGCCCGUCAAACCAUGAAAGUCGCCAAUACCUGACGUGCUAGCUUGCCUAGCCCUAAAGUAGGGGAGAUGAUUGGGGGUUAAGUCGUAACAAGGUAACC
rnacentral:rRNA from 1 species